CUUAACUGUUGUCGCAAAAUAACGCUCACUUUUUGUCGCCUAAACAUAACCGUAAUGUCCGCCGAAACGACCGGCAGCUCCCGGUGCUCUAUACACG